rnacentral:snRNA from 1 species
GGAUGUAAGGAUGAUCUGGCUGUGACAUCCAUCACCCCACGGAUCACCAGUGUUGAUUCAGCUGGUUUGACUGGCCAGACACAUGUCCCUUUCCUCCCUCAUUGCUCUAUGUGUAUCCCUGCUGAAGCUCCACGUUCGGUCAAAGAAAGCAACCUUCCCAGAUCCAGGAGAACCAUUUUCCAGUCAAGGGUAGAAGCUCCACACAAGCUCUCACAAAGCGAUGCAGAGGAGUCAAUAACACUGAAGCAUCACUGUUGUGAAUGACUCAUAUUAAUUUAAGAAUGUGUUCCCUU